rnacentral:rRNA from 1 species
UACGUAGGGGGCAAGCGUUGUCCGGAUUUACUGGGCGUAAAGCGCGCGUAGGUGGAGCGGCCAGUCCGGCCUGAAAGCCCCGGCUCAACCGGGGAGAGUGGCUGGAAACUGCCGGUCUUGAGGGCGAGAGAGGAGGGUGGAAUUCCUGGUGUAGCGGUGAAAUGCGUAGAGAUCAGGAGGAACACCCGGGGCGAAGGCGGCCCUCUGGCUCGACCCUGACGCUGAGGCGCGAAAGCGUGGGGAGCGAACGGG